UUCCAAUGAUGAAAUCUUUGUCCAGUUCUGCUACUGAUUGGCAAGAGAUGAGAUCGGUGGAUCUGAGGGAG
rnacentral:snoRNA from 1 species